UUUUUGUGAUGAAAAACUCUUGUCCAGUUCUGCUACUGAAGGAGAGAGAUGAGACUUUUAGCACUGAAGAAG
rfam:Erinaceus europaeus unplaced genomic scaffold scaffold00501, whole genome shotgun sequence